rnacentral:rRNA from 1 species
UGCCUCAGUAACGGCGAGUGAAGCGGCAACAGCUCAAAUUUGAAAUCUGGCGUCUUCGGCGUCCGAGUUGUAAUUUGCAGAGGAUGCUUCUGGGCAGCCACCGGUCUAAGUGCCUUGGAACAGGCCGUCAUAGAGGGUGAGAAUCCCGUAUGUGACCGGAAGGGCACCCUCCACGUAGCUCCUUCGAAGAGUCGAGUUGUUUGGGAAUGCAGCUCAAAAUGGGAGGUAAAUUUCUUCUAAAGCUAAAUACCGGCCAGAGACCGAUAGCGCACAAGUAGAGUGAUCGAAAGAUGAAAAGCACUUUGGAAAGAGAGUUAAAAAGCACGUGAAAUUGUUGAAAGGGAAGCGCUUGCAACCAGACUUGCCUGCGGUGUUCCGCCGGUCUUCUGACCGGUCUAUUCGCCGCCUGCAGGCCAGCAUCGUUUGGGGCCGCCGGAUAAAAGCGUCGGGAAUGUGGCUCCCCUCGGGGAGUGUUAUAGCCCGGCGUGCAAUACGGCGCGUCUCGAGCGAGGUCCGCGCUUCGGCUAGGAUGCUGGCGUAAUGGUUGUAAGCGGCCCGUCUUGAAACACGGACCAAGGAGUCUAACAUCUAUGCGAGUGUUCGGGUGUCAAACCCCUACGCGUAAUGAAAGUGAACGGAGGUGGGAACUUUUUGUGCACCAUCGACCGAUCCUGAUGUCUUCGGAUGGAUUUGAGUAAGAGCAUAGCUGUUGGGACCCGAAAGAUGGUGAACUAUGCCUGAAUAGGGUGAAGCCAGAGGAAACUCUGGUGGAGGCUCGCAGCGGUUCUGACGUGCAAAUCGAUCGUCAAAUUUGGGUAU